rnacentral:rRNA from 1 species
UCGUGCCAACGUCAGAGCUGUGUAGCUAUGUUGUGGACGGGAUAAGUGCUGAAAGCAUCUAAGCAUGAAGCCCCCCUCAAGAUGAGAUUUCCCAACUUCGGUUAUAAGAUCCCUCGAAGAUGACGAGGUUAAUAGGUUCGAGGUGGAAGCGUGGUGACACGUGGAGCUGACGAAUACUAAUCGAUCGAAGACUUAAUCAAUUUUUAAA